UACGUAGGCAGCAAGCGUUGUUCGGAGUUACUGGGCGUAAAGGGUGUGUAGGCGGUCCCCUAAGUUUGGUGUGAAAUCUCCCGGCUCAACUGGGAGGGUGCGCCGAAAACUGGAGGGCUAGAGUACUGGAUGGGAGAGUGGAAUUCCUGGUGUAGCGGUGAAAUGCGUAGAUAUCAGGAGGAACACCUGUGGUGUAGACGGCUCUCUGGACAGUAACUGACGCUGAGACGCGAAAGCGUGGGGAGCGAACAGG
rnacentral:rRNA from 1 species